rnacentral:rRNA from 1 species
UACGUAGGGGGCAAGCGUUGUCCGGAUUUAUUGGGCGUAAAGAGCGUGUAGGCGGCCACACAGGUCUGCUGUGAAAACUCGAGGCUCAACCUCGAGCUGUCGGUGGAAACCGUGUGGCUAGAGUCCGGAAGAGGAGAGUGGAAUUCCCGGUGUAGCGGUGAAAUGCGCAGAUAUCGGGAAGAACACCCGUGGCGAAGGCGGCCAUCUGGAUCAACACUGACGCUGAGGCACGAAAGCGUGGGGAGCAAACAGG